GCGGCACCGCGACGGCGGCGAGGCCCUGCUCAGCCCCGACGGCACCGUUACCGAGGCGCCGCGCACAGUCAAGAAGAUCAAAAGGAACUGUACUCCAGUAGCAGUACCUGAUGAACUGCAUCUAAGGAACCUCAAUCACACUUGGACCUGAAUUAGAUAUCAAGAUUCUGGACAUCAAGCUGAUGCCAUAAUGAGAUGAGACUUUUGAAGGUCUUAGGAGAGGUGACCUGCUUGACCAAUUGAGUGACUUUCUGGGACUUCUGAUGCUUGGUCAUAAGAAGCCUUGCAGCUUCUGCCUGUGCCUCUUGGAAUUCUCUCUUUUGGAAUACUCACUCUCAGAACCCAGCCACCGUGCUAUGAGAAGUCCAAGCCAGUUGGAGAGGACACAUGCAGGCACUGGUUGAUAGCCCCAAUGAGCUACCAGCAAACAGCCAGCAUCAACUGUCAACUAUGUGAGUGAAGGAACCAUGUUGGACAGUCCAGCUCUAGAAAACACCACUUGGGGAAGAACUGAGGUCUCAGACACGUAGCUCCUGUUGAGACAUCCUAGUCAUCUUCAUCUAUUCUAGUCAUCAUCACAUUUGUGGUCCCAGGCAUUGUGGAUCAGAGACACACUGUCUCUGCUCUGCCCUGCUAGAAUUUCUGGCCCAAAGAAUCGUGACAAUAAUAAAAUGAUCAUUGUUUGCCACUAACUUUUGGGGUAAUUUUUUUUUAAUCUUCACUGGAGGAGUGAGGAUAUUUUUUCCAUUGAUUUUUUUUUUUUUUCCAGAGAGAGUGGAAGGGGGAGGUGAGGGGAAGAGAGAAACAUCGGUUGUUUGCCUCCCAUAUUUGCCCCCACUGGAAAUGGGUACCGAAUCUGCAACCCAGGUAUGUGCCCUUGAUCAGGAAUUGAACUGGGG